UGCCGGGUCGUCUAAUGGCAGGACAGCGGCCUUUGGAGCCGUCAGUGGAGGUUCGAAUCCUCCCCCGGCAG
rfam:Ignavibacteria bacterium 13_1_40CM_2_61_4 13_1_40cm_2_scaffold_164470, whole genome shotgun sequence.